rnacentral:tRNA from 2 species
GGGGGUAUAGCUCAGUGGUAGAGCACGUGCUUAGCAUGCACGAGGCCCUGGGUUUAAUUCCCAGUACCUCCA